rnacentral:other from 1 species
GUUCACUGCCGCAUAGCCAGCUCAGAAA